UACGGAGGGUGCAAGCGUUGCUCGGAAUUAUUGGGCGUAAAGGGUAGGUAGGUGGUCUCAUUUGUCUGGGGUGAAAGCCUUGAGCUUAACUCAAGAAGUGCCCCAGAAACGGUGAGACUAGAGUCUUGGAGAGGGUCGUGGAAUUCCCGGUGUAGCGGUGAAAUGCGUAGAGAUCGGGAGGAACACCAGAGGCGAAAGCGGCGACCUGGACAAGUACUGACACUCAACUACGAAAGCGUGGGGAGCAAACAGG
rnacentral:rRNA from 1 species